UUUUUGGUGCAAAUUAGCUAUA
rnacentral:siRNA from 1 species